UUUGCGAUUGAGCACAUUGUGAGAACUGCCCUUGAAAAGGGGAGGAAGGUGUAGGCUACGGUAGGUCUGUAUGCUCCGAAUCUUCUGGGCUACACGCGCGCAACAAUGGUAGGAACAAUAGGAUGCAACUCCGAAAGGAGAAGCCAAUCCCCAAAAUCCUAUCCUAGUUCAGAUUGAGGAUUGUAACUUAUCCUCGUGACGCUGGAAUCCCUAGUAAUCAGGUGUUAUCAGCGCCUGGUGAACAUGUCCCUGCUCCUUGCACACACCGCCCGUCAAACCACCCGAGCAGGGUUUAGAUGAGGCUUAAUUUUUAAUUAAGUCAAAUCUAGACUCAGCGAGGAGGGUUAAGUCGUCACAAGGUAGCCGUAGGGGAACCUGCGGCUGGAUCACCUCCAUU
rnacentral:rRNA from 1 species